AUUUUAUUUGAUGGCAGAUAGUUAUAUAUUUGUAGAUUUCCUUAAUUGUUUUGUUUGGGUUUUUUUUGUGGGACACUUUACUUGAUUAUGGUUCUCCUAUUAGCAGUGGGUAGUACAGUCAAAAGCUUCUUUGAUGUCUCUUCUCUGUUUGUACAGGCUAUGUUGCAAGACUCAGUCAUGGUUUUAAAAUGUAAACUCUCUUACUCUCAGUUGCUGGCCGCUGGUUUUGCCCCGCGUACGGGUGUAGAACACGGGGAACAUCCUGGCAGCCCCUCACACGGCGGGGAUGAGCCAGGGCUGUGCCUGGGGAGCGGCGGGAGGUGAAGGCGGUACCGCCGUGGAAGGAGACGUGGCUGGAGGUGAGAACACAGAAUCACAGAACCCUCGGGAUUAGGAGGGACCCCGGAGAUCAUCCGGCCGGCCCCGCUGCCGAGACAGGGUCACCUGCCGCUGGUGACACGGGAGCACAUCCAGGCGGGUUCGGAAUGUCUCCAGAGAGGGAGACUCCGCCACCGCCCUGGGCAGCCUGUUCCAGUGCUCUGCCAGCCUCAACGUAAACAAGUUCUUCCUCAUGUUGAGGUGGAACUUCUUGUGUUUUGUUUUAUGGCCAGCCCUACCCGUCCUGUCGCUGGCACCACUGAGAAGAGUCUGACACAUCCUCUUGGCACGGGCCUUUGAGACAUUUAUAUGCACUGAGAAGGGCCAUCAUGAGUCUUCUCCGGACUAACGCGCCCUCAGCACCCGCAUACGUGUUACAAAGGACCGACCGCGGGUCAUUUGCUUUCCCCACGAACCAACGCAGUACUGGGACCCAGCGGGGAGCGAGGCGUGUCUGUUCCGGUGCUACCGUGACGACUUCCAGAACGGCCACGCGAGUUCCUGAUCCAGGUGUUGGAGCGGGUGAAGGCUGGGAGGCGAGCCGAGGGCGAGUACCCGUUCCUCAUGGACGAAGGCAACGUGGACGCCAUGUUCAGCCUGCUGGAUGUCCUAGGCCAGGGCUCCAUCAGGCCCGCGCAGUACAGGGAAGGUGCGUCCGCCCGCACCCCUGCCACACCAAACUGCUCACUUGCCCAGAACUAUUAAAAUAG
ensembl:lncRNA